AUUGAAUUUAUUUUAAAAAGUUGUCCUUCAUGGAAGGGGCGGGUGGUGGAGGGUCCAAAUAAAACAAAAUAAAACAUCCCAAAAUGUUAUAAAAUAUCAACAAAUUCAUCUUCAUUAUCCCCCACGUUGUUCCACCUCCGCUUCUGGGAGGAGCCAGGCGGGGCCACAGAGCGGGUAAGUACAGAUUAUUCUCCAGUGACACCAAUGCCAACGUGAUACUACCUCUGCUACACUGAACACAUAUCCUAGAUCUAGAGGAACUUGAUUUACAAAAAGCAGAAUGUUCUGUAGGUGUUAUGAUUGGGGUGAUGUGUGUUCCAGCUUCCACUGCCAACAAGGAACACAACUGCUUAACAAAUUGCUUUGGUGUCAACCAUACUUUCCUUCAGUCUAAUCCAAAUGAACCCAGUUUACCUGUUGUAAAUAUUUUUUUUAUCAUAACAAACUGUGUCAAAAGUUUCCUGACAUAUAUUUGAGACUUUAACAGUUGGUAUUAAAUCAGUUUUUCUGAUGUUUUUUUGUUUUGUUUGUUCAUCAUGUUUUGACCUCCAGACUCCCCCAUCUCAUCCCACCAACUCUGUCAGUCCACCAGGCCCCACAAUGCAGCCUCCACACCACUGCAGUAACAGCCACAUCUUCCCAUCACAAAGCUUCAGUACUGUCUCAAUGUGUUGAAGUACCAUCCAGGAUCCUGUGGCAACGUCAAUGUGAAACAGCAUUGACCCGUGAUCACCACCAACCAGGGCUCCACAGCGGUAUCCUUGGACACCCAGUGAAUCCAGAGAGAGCACACCAGGCAGCAUUGAGCACUUUGAUGAGAUUGGCUGUUCAGCAGGAAGAUUCAUCUGGCUACACAGAAGGGAUGAUGGCUCUGACCAAUAAAAUUAUAUUUUUGAAACUAUAUAACUGAAUAAACUAUGAUUUAACUAAAAACAUAUUUCUGUUUUGGUUAGUAAUUAUUGCCUUAUUUCACUGUAGAGCCUCUAGCCCUGCUGAAUACGCCUUAUUUAUCCAUCCUACAAGUGUUUAGCAGAUGUUAUUGCGGGUGUAGCAAAAUGCUUGUGUUUCUAGCUCCAUCAGUGCAGUAAUAUCUAACAAUACACACAAAUCUAAGUAUAGGAAUGGAAUUAAGAAUAUAUAAAUAAAUGGGCGAACAAUGUCAGAACGGCAUAGACUAAGACACAGUAGUAUAGUAUAGAAUACAGUAUAUACAUAUGAGAUGAGUAAUACAUAGACUAAGACACAGUAGUAUAGUAUAGAAUACAGUAU
rnacentral:lncRNA from 8 species